GCGGUAAAUGGAACAAUCGACAUAGAAGAGUUUAUCUCUGCAACGUUGGAUAGAUUCAAACUGGACCACCAUGAGCUUUUUCGCCAAGAAUUCCAACACUUUGACAAAAGAAAAAGAUGGGUGAAUAACAAGGGGUGAAUUGGAGAUAGCAAUGAAAGAUUAUGGUGUAAGAGAUGAAGAUAGCAUCAAACACAUAACAUCAGAAAGUAUGCCAAUAAUGAUAGAAGCAUAUAUCUUGAGGAAUUUCACACAAUGAUGAGAAGGGCAAGCAAAGAGUCACAAAUACAAAAUUUUGCGGUCAAUUGAUCAUAGUGUUCUUGUGUUCACCAAAAAUAAAGGUUCAGGGAAGAAGAGCUAAACCUGAGUAAACCGAGAUAAGAGUAGUUGAUCUUUAAAGUUUAAACUUAG